CUAUCGCAUGCAGGCUAACAGCAAUAUGUAUUUAACACCGCAUGAAAUGCUUACAGGUCGACCCAUGUCUGUGUCUGUUCCUUAUGAAGGACUGCCACUGGAGUAAUUGCAGAUGGAUCAAAGAAAACAUAUAUGAGACAACUAACUAUUAUGUAUGAAGCUAUCUAUUCACAGGAAGAGAGCUGGGUGCAUUGUCAUGGGUGAGGCGUUACCGCCUCAAUGGGGGGAGGUGUUCACCCGGAGGUGGGAGACCAGGAGCAGCGAGAGAAUGGCUGAAGCUGACUACUGGGUUUGGAGAUGGUCACGGGGGAACCUGGAGCCAAUCCCAGGGAGCAUCGGGCACAAGGUGGGGUACAACCUGGACAGGGUGCCAGUCCAUCGCAUCCCAGUCCAAAGCCCAUGCAUGUCUUUGGACUGGGGGAGGAAACCGGAGUACCCGUAGGAAACCCCCGCAGCACGGGGAGAAACAUGCAAACUCUGCACACACAUGGCCCUGGCAGGAAUCGAACCCCGGACCCUGGAGGUGUAAAGAAGAAGUGCAGCUGUAUGAGCUGAGUUUUCGCGGAUGCGACACCUGUCUCCACAGUGACACCUAGUGGUCACUUGCAGGUGUUGAUCUGAAACAUCCUUGAAAACGAUUCAGACAAGCGUUGACGAAUUAUGACCUACAUGUUGUUUGCCUCAAACAACGAAGUGUGUGGGGCAUGUUGCUGCAGUGGGUUCGAAUCCUCGGUGAUGUCUCCUUAUCCACAUCAUUGCAAGAGAUGUUUAAAAAUUAGUGGGUUUUUUAAUUGUUGUGUUAUUUAUUUAUUUAUUAUUUUUUUAUGUGUUGAGUUUUUAACAACUGUCUGACAACUAGGCUACAUGAGCUUGGUUUUGAGCCUGUAGGCUCCUCAUUGUAAAUAUCUAUAUGUAAUUCUGGUCAUGAAAAAUUAAGAUUAAUAAAUGCAAAACUGUUCAAAUUCUUUCUUGCCUAGGUAAUAACCCACAGUAUCUGGCCAGCUGGAAAUUUGGUGGGAUUUCACGUCAGAUGAUUAACAAGGCAUCCUGAGGCGAGCACUUACCAUGGAUCAGUACAAACAUUAUUGAAUCAUUUCCGUUUUAUACCGGAGAACAGUUUAACUUGUAUAUUAAACACUGAUUCAUUGGUUCACCUGGAGAUCAACACCCCCUAGCGGUGAACCAUGGACAUUUUCGAAACGUUUCGAAACAGUAUUACGUAAUGAAGCCUCGUAUGCUGAAAUCACGUGACUUGGCCAGUUUGAUACGCGCUCCGAACCACUGAUUCGAAAUAAAAGACCCAUAAAGGUUUCAAACCUUCAUAAAGCAGUGUUUUGAAAGCGCCAAUCACUAUUAAAUAAGAGUGUACCAAAAUACCGUAUAUAUGUAAUUUGCUAGGAGGAUUAAUAUGGGUUUAAAGAAGUCUUCGUCGGAUUGAGCCUGCAGGGCGGCGUUUCGGCACUGCUGCUUUUCGUCUUCGGUCUGUUUCUGGCAUGACGUGGCGUGCAUGCAUUCUUGAUUUCACCUGUGUGCUUGUGUGACAUGUGAGCUCGAUAGGUGCACGUAGUGGUAUAAGAUGUUUCCUAUGGGCGGAGGAUGUUGUGUUGGUAUAUAGCACUGCUAAACUUGACUGUAAUUUAUGUGUUCGAGCUUGUGGGAACGCUGGAGUGUGACUGCUUAGUUAUGCUAAGCCAAUUUUAAUGAAUUGUGUUUAAUACUAAAGUGUUAAAUAAAGACAUUUGUAUAUAUCCUCGUCUGAGACCAUUCCAUGAAAAACGGACCUGUGUGCCCUUUUUGGGUGGUUAGGUUAAUUUCACUGUAUAACAGGGUUAUUAUAAAUAUAUAAUAUAUAGCUACCCAAGUGUUCAAAUACGCACUCCGCCACAAUACUAAGAACAAACACAACAAACAUGAAGACAAACCUUUUUACUCGGGUAAAGAUUGGGACAUGUGUCUGUUGCAUAAACUUCAGCUGUCCGUAUACCGUCAUCUAAUUACAAUUACAAAGGCUUGACUGGUCUUUAUUUUGUAAUAUUUAGAAGUACUUGCAAGUUACCAUGGUAAAUUACAUACAUUAAAAUCAUAGGCGGAGUUGCAAAUAGCACAGGCAGAUAAUGCAAACUGUCUCACAUGUGCGGUUUGAAUGCGGUUUAAAGGUGUAACCAGAAAAAAAACCCAUCAUUGAUUAUAUUCAUUCCCCAUACAUAUUUUAAUCAGAUAAAGUUUAGAAAAAUGGUUGGAUAAAACUUCAGAUUACUUACCAGUGUGUGGGAUAAUACUGUGCUAAUGUAGUGUUCGUGUGCUUACGAACUCAAACGAGCUCAAUCACCCCUUUGCCUGAUAAAACACGCAAUAGGCCUACCGAUAACCGAUUAUUCAGUGUGAUAUCGGCCAAUACCGAUAGUUUGGUGGUUUUGCCUUUUAUACCUUCUUUUAAAUUAAUAAUAAAUUGUUUCACAGUAACUGGUCUCAUAAACAGAAAACACAUUACUUAAAUAAACAUUAAAACGGUAACUAAGUUCUGAAGAUUAAAGUCACUCACUCACCACAAACAAAAGCAUUUCUACUUCUUCAUUGAACAUCAAACUGGUAAUAUAUAAUAUAACUUUGUGUAAAGGUGAUGACUCUUGUGUAGAAUGACAACAAAAUUGCAGUUUGUAAUCUCUGCACCGCUAAUCUUUUACACUGCACGCUGCAGCAAAGCAGAAGCAGUGCGUUUUUUUUCGGCGUGCAUGUUAACAAAUGAGUGCUUUUACCGUGCAGUAGUGAAGAAUCGAGUCAAAUUUUUUUUUGCCGCACUGAAUUAAAGCUCCAGUGUACUGUUGAAAGAUUU